AGUGCCUGACCCCUGGCAAACAGACUGCAGCCCGAGCACCAGGUGUGCUGGGAGUGAGCUCACCAGGAGCAGGGUGGUGACAGUGGAAGGCUCUCCUGAGUGCCUCCCUGGCCUCAUUAGCACCUCACUCACUGCUGGGGCCCAGAGUACUAAGAUGGAAAAGCACCGCACAGAGGCAGCA
rnacentral:lncRNA from 1 species